rnacentral:rRNA from 1 species
UACUCCUACGGGAGGCAGCAGUGGGGAAUAUUGCACAAUGGGCGCAAGCCUGAUGCAGCCAUGCCGCGUGUGUGAAGAAGGCCUUCGGGUUGUAAAGCACUUUCAGCGGGGAGGAAGGCGUUAAGGUUAAUAACCUUGGCGAUUGACGUUACCCGCAGAAGAAGCACCGGCUAACUCCGUGCCAGCAGCCGCGGUAAUAA